UACAAUUUUAAUUCUUUAGCUGUGACAGAAAUGAAGAGUCUCUACCGUCCAAUGAUGAAAGUGACGGAAGUUUAUAUCCAGAUGACUUAUCAUCAUUGAGUUAUCCAGAUUCCUUCAGUGACAUAACAUAUACGGAUGAAUCGACAUUACAAUCCCUUUAUGGAGCUGUGAGUGAUAGUACAUCCAUGUAUGAACCAUAUUCCUCAAAUGAAAUCAUGAAAGAAAGCCUUUCCCAGAAUGAGCCUGAGUCACUACGUGGUAAAGGAUCUGCCAGUGAACUCACACUCUCGAGUGAACUGAAGACCGUGUGCUCCACUGUCACUGUGUCCACCAGUGUGCUAACUGCCUCAUCUGAUGCAACGUCAGAAAUCCAGGAAGGAGACAUUGACAAAUA